GGCCCGGAACAGGCUCUGGAGCCGAACAGGUCGCGGGUUUUUGUUUGACAACAUACCGCCUGGAUCUACGGACCGGGACGGAAGG
rfam:Geothermobacter sp. EPR-M contig_5, whole genome shotgun sequence.